GAUGAACGCUGGCGGCGUGCCUAAUACAUGCAAGUCGAGCGAACGGACGAGGAGCUUGCUUCUCUGAUGUUAGCCGCGGGCGGGUGAGAAACACGUGGAUAACCUACCUAUAAGACUGGUAUCACUUCGGGAAUCCGGAGCUAAUACCGGAUAAUAUUUUGAACCACAUGGUUCAAAAGUAAAUGACGGUCUUGCUGUCACUUAUAGAUGGUUCCGCGCUGCAUUAGCUAGUUGGUACGGUAACGGCUUACCAAGGCAACGAUGCAUAGCCGAACGGAGGGGGGGAUAGGCCACACUAGAACUGAGACGGGGUCAAGACGACUGAGGGAGGGAGCAGUAGGGAAUCUUACGCAAUGGGGGAAAGCAUGACGGAGCAACGGGGCGUGAGUGAUGAAGGUCUUCGGAGCGGAAAACUCUGUUAUGAGGGAAGAACAGAUGUGUAAGGAACUGAGCAGAGAGUGACGGUAACGAAUCAGAAAGCAACGGCUAACUACGUG
rnacentral:rRNA from 1 species